rnacentral:rRNA from 1 species
UACGUAGGUGGCAAGCGUUGUCCGGAUUUACUGGGCGUAAAGAGCGCGCAGGCGGUCGUUCAAGUCGCGUGUGAAAGCCCCCGGCUCAACUGGGGAGGGUCACGCGAUACUGAUCGACUCGAAGGCAGGAGAGGGUAGUGGAAUUCCCGGUGUAGCAGUGAAAUGCGUAGAUAUCGGGAGGAACAUCUGUGGCGAAGGCGACACCCUGGACCAGCACUGACACUGAGGCACGAAAGCGUGGGGAGCAAACAGG